rnacentral:antisense_RNA from 1 species
CUUUGACAUCAGCACAGCUUUGAAAGGGGGAUGGGAGAGCGAGCAGAAAGCAGAAAAACCAGCUUUGAACUAUGCAUGCAAGGCCUCUUUCAAGCCUCAAAUUCUAUAAGGACGGCUUGAGCCAGGGCAGUUCAGAAACACUGGAGGAGCAGAGGCAGCAGGGCGCUGGACCAGACAGAGGACGGGACUGUCCAAGGAGUGGUCUCCGUGUGAGGCAAUGAGCUGAGAUUACAGCUGGCAGCUAGAAACCACACCCCGUGGGUGCCACCCAGAGAGAGCUGAGACUGACCAUGGAGUAACGGCCGAGGUCAUGUGUGUAGCCCCGGGCCAUGGAGAGGGGGUACCCUGGAGGGGCUGGGCUGGUUGGCUGGGCUCAGGCUGACAGCCAACGGGCUCCCCAGUGUUCCGAAGAGGGAGUGGCCCUGGUGGUGCCUUUCUGUGGC